AUGAACUCUUCUCUAGGGUUAGUGACUGUGAUACUGUUGAUGUUUGGAGGAACCAGUGGAGACUCAGUGACCCAGACAGAAAGCCAAGUAACCGUCACAGAAGCAGCCAUCCUGACUAUAAACUGCACUUAUUCCGCCGCAGGAUAUCCGGCUCUUUUCUGGUAUGUUCAAUAUCCCGGUGAAGAGCUACGGGUUCUCCUGAAAGCCACUACAGCCAACAAGAAAGAAAAAAACAAAGGUUUUGAAGCUACACACAAUAAAGAAGCAUCUUCCUUCCACUUGGAGAAAGCCUCAGUCCAAGUGUCAGACUCGGCUGUGUACUACUGUGCUGUGAGUGACACGGUGACAGGAACUGCAGAGGGAGCUGAGCACAAACUCUGA